CACUCAGUAGCUUAAUUGCCCAAAGCAUCGGUCUUGUAAUCCGAAGACUGGAGGCUAAAAUCCUCCCUAGUGC